rnacentral:rRNA from 1 species
CGCUGGCGGCGUGCCUAAUACAUGCAAGUCGAACGGUCUUUCUAUGGAAGCUUGCUUCCACUGAGAAGAUAGUGGCGAACGGGUGAGUAACACGUGGGUAACCUGCCCAUAAGAGGGGGAUAACAUCCGGAAACGGGUGCUAAUACCGCAUAGUUUUCUUGAUCGCAUGAUUGAGAAAGGAAGAUGGCCUUUGUGCUGUCGCUUAUGGAUGGACCCGCGGCGUAUUAGUUAGUUGGUGAGGUAACGGCUCACCAAGACGAUGAUACGUAGCCGACCUGAGAGGGUGAUCGGCCACAUUGGGACUGAGACACGGCCCAAACUCCUACGGGAGGCAGCAGUAGGGAAUCUUCCGCAAUGGACGAAAGUCUGACGGAGCAACGCCGCGUGAGUGAAGAAAAGGUUUUCGGAUCGUAAAACUCUGUUGUCAGAGAAGAACAAGUUGGAGAGUAACUGCUCCAGCCUUGACGGUAUCUGACCAGAAAGCCACGGCUAACUACGUGCCAGCCGCAGC